UGUCCGGCAGAUGGGAACAUCUCUC
rnacentral:miRNA from 1 species